rnacentral:rRNA from 1 species
GACAGAGGUGGCAAGCGUUGUUCGGAUUUACUGGGCGUAAAGCGCACGUAGGCGGCCAGGCAAGUCGGGUGUGAAAUCCCUCUGCUUAACGGAGGAACUGCGCUCGAAACUGCCCGGCUCGAGGGUAGGAGAGGAGAGUGGAAUUCCCGGUGUAGCAGUGAAAUGCGUAGAGAUCGGGAGGAACACCAGUGGCGAAGGCGGCUCUCUGGCCUAUUCCUGACGCUGAAGAGCGAAAGCGUGGGGAGCAAAC